GGUAGCGUGACCUCACUGAUGCAACGUCACUUGGCAGGGUUCGUCACCACGCCUCAGUCCACGUAGUGGGGAUUUUUGGUGCAUGAUGAUGGCCUUUAUUUAUCCAUGUAACAGGUUUGGCAAGAAAAGAAAAAGAGGAGAUGUUAAUAGAUCAAGUCUAAUAUAUUGUUUGAGAAAAUGAAUAUUUACACCGUCAUAAUGGAGAACACCGAUUCUGAGAAAGAAAGCAGUUGCUCCUUGAAGACUAAAAACAAACAUAAUUUCCUGGGGCACAAAAGGUGGGGCAAUAAAACAAGGUCUAUUCAAAAGAUUUAUCUUUUAUGCAGCGUGUUGACAUUAAUGUCUUGUCCCUGUUUUCACAUUGCAGGGGGAAUUAUGCAGCCCAAGCGUGGUAAUGAUGAUAACUGCAGCUUUUUAUUGACACUUGGAACACCAUUCCCCAUCAGCUCACAUGCGAUAGAGGCUCCUUUGUUGGAAAACAGCAACAAGUACAAUCUUUAAUCACAUGACUAUCCAAAGUCAGCAGAUUCUCUUAUGAGUCUUUUCUCAUCAGACCUAGCCAUUUCCUGGAUACAUUUUGUUCAUGAUGGAAAACUGAGUGAAAACUAA